rnacentral:lncRNA from 1 species
GGCUUCCGGCUCCGGCUUGGAGCUGGGUGUUCAGAAAGUGGGUGUACUGCGUUAGCGUUUAGGUGGGUUGUUUAGAUGGCGCCAGCCUCAGCGUCUCCAGUCAGUUCUUUUAGUCACACAUUCAUUCCGCUGCCAACAGUCAAACUCGACGUCGAGCGAUUAAAUCCCUGGCAUCGCCCUGUGUAGCCUUGCAUCUGUUCGAUCAGCCAUUCCGGCUACUGUUCCACCGCCAGUCUGACUUAAACAGAAGCCGUCGGGCUUAGGUAACGCAAGUCAAUGGAGUCAACAAGCAGAACUUAAGCACCGGAUUUAAUGUCUCCGAACGCUCACUGAUCGCUGCCGAAGGUGGUGUCUACCUUUAGACAAGCGUGGCGCAGGCAUGGUGCUGCACGCCUGAAUCCCAGUGAUCUGAAAGUGGAGACAGGAGUAAAGGCCAGCCUCAGCUACGUGAAGGCACUGCCUCGUAAAUAAAAAUUUAAAAAGAAACAGGCCCUAGUGUGAGAAAUAACUGAGGACAAUCACAAUUUGGUGAAAUAACCUGGCAGUUCCUGUAUGGCUAAGUAGACGGUCGAUGAAUACCUUAAGACUAAAAACCCGAUUGUUCUGAUGCAGCAAGCCUCUGCUACUCUAAGGCUGAGGCUGUAGGUGAAACCAAUCACAAGUAUUUCAAAAAGAAAGGGUGCAGGUGCGUAGCUCAGUAGAGGCACUCAGGUCAAGCCCCAGUACCAGGGAAGAAAAGUGAACAUUUUUUUAAAUGCAGUGCACAGAGAUGCAACAACUUUCGAUCUUUAAAAUUUCCUCUAAGACUUAACUCUAUUGUUUGACGAAACCCAUUAUGUACAUGAGGUGUCUCAAAUCCAUCCCCCGCCCCCCAUUAGGACUUACCCUUUGGGGGUUGGAGAGAUGGCCCAGGGGUUAAGAGCACUGACUCCUCUUUCAGAGGUCCUCAGUUCAAUUUCCAGCAACCACAUGGUGUCUCGCAACCAUCUAAUUAAUCUGAUGGACUCGGAUGCCUUCUUCUGGGUUGUCUGAAGAGAGAGACAGUGUAUGCACAUACAUAAAAUAAAUACAUCUUUUUAAAAACAAACAGAAAACCUUAUUCUUUGUCCUUUAAAAAAAAUUGAUGAGCUUUUGAUCAGUCCUGGCUCGACAAAACAAAAACAAAAGGAUGUUUGUUAAUUUGCAUAGGGGCUUCUUGUUAGGCAUCCUUAUUUUAACUAUCCAGCCAUCUAUCUAAUUAUCUGUAAGUAAAAAUAAUAUGACACUACAGGUAACUAAAGAAUGCUGAGCUCAGGAGAAAUAGUAUUCCCCCAGGAAAAGCACAUCAACUGAUUAACCAAUACCAAAUGGCCAGCCCUGAAAACUCUCUCUCUCUCAACUAAC